rnacentral:rRNA from 1 species
GAAAAACUCCCCUAAACCAUUGUGAACGUUACCUAUACCGUUGCUUCGGCGGGCGGCACCCGGGGUUUACCCCCCGGGCGCCCCUGGGCCCCACCGCGGGCGCCCGCCGGAGGUCACCAAACUCUUGAUAAUUUAUGGCCUCUCUGAGUCUUCUGUACUGAAUAAGUCAAAACUUUCAACAACGGAUCUCUUGGUUCUGGCAUCGAUGAAGAACGCAGCGAAAUGCGAUAAGUAAUGUGAAUUGCAGAAUUCAGUGAAUCAUCGAAUCUUUGAACGCACAUUGCGCCCGCCAGCAUUCUGGCGGGCAUGCCUGUUCGAGCGUCAUUUCAACCAUCAAGCCCCCGGGCUUGUGUUGGGGACCUGCGGCUGCCGCAGGCCCUGAAAAGCAGUGGCGGGCUCGCUGUCGCACCGAGCGUAGUAGCAUACAUCUCGCUCUGGUCGCGCCGCGGGUUCCGGCCGUUAAACCACCUUUUAACCCAAGGUUGACCUCGGAUCAGGUAGGAAGACCCGCUGAACUUAAGCAUAUCAAUAGAGCGGAGGACGAGUUGCAAAACUCCCUAAACCAUUGUGAACGUUACUAUACGUUGCUCGCGGGGCGGCCCCGAGGUUUACCCCGGGCGCCCUGGGCCA